CUUAAACGGAAGUACGCAAUCCAAAUCCAACAGGAACCGGAAGUUACCUGCGUGCUCAACACUGACAUCUCUGCUAAUGGAGGACUGUUUGGAUGCGCUGCUCGUGUGAAGAUGGCCAUGUUGCCCAGCUUCACUAAGGAGGAUUUCCUCGGCCAGAACACUUUUUAAGAAGACACAUUAGGCCACUUAUUCAUGGGGAUAUUGAGAUUGAGAAAUCAGAUCGCCCAGC
rnacentral:lncRNA from 1 species